rnacentral:rRNA from 1 species
ACUCCUACGGGAGGCAGCAGUGGGGAAUAUUGCACAAUGGGCGCAAGCCUGAUGCAGCCAUGCCGCGUGUGUGAAGAAGGCCUUCGGGUUGUAAAGCACUUUCAGUCGUGAGGAAGGUAGUGUAGUUAAUAGCUGCAUUAUUUGACGUUAGCGACAGAAGAAGCACCGGCUAACUCCGUGCCAGCAGCCGCGGUAAUACGGAGGGUGCGAGCGUUAAUCGGAAUUACUGGGCGUAAAGCGCAUGCAGGUGGUUUGUUAAGUCAGAUGUGAAAGCCCGGGGCUCAACCUCGGAAUAGCAUUUGAAACUGGCAGACUAGAGUACUGUAGAGGGGGGUAGAAUUUCAGGUGUAGCGGUGAAAUGCGUAGAGAUCUGAAGGAAUACCGGUGGCGAAGGCGGCCCCCUGGACAGAUACUGACACUCAGAUGUGAAAGCGUGGGGAGCAAACAGGAUUAGAUACCCUGGUAGGAUAGCG